rnacentral:rRNA from 1 species
UGCAGUCGAGGGGCAGCAUGGGCUUAGCUUGCUAAGCCCGAUGGCGACCGUGCGCACGGGUGAGUAACACGUAUCCAACCUUCCGGUAACUCCGGUAUAGCCUUUCGAAAGAAAGAUUAAUCCCGGAUAGUAUGGUGAUUCCGCAUGGUUUUUCCAUUAAAGGAUUCCGGUUACCGAUGGGGAUGCGUUCCAUUAGGCAGUUGGCGGGGUAACGGCCCACCAAACCUACGAUGGAUAGGGGUUCUGAGAGGAAGGUCCCCCACAUUGGGACUGAGACACGGUCCAAACUCCUACGGGAGGCAGCAGUGAGGAAUAUUGGUCAAUGGGCGGAAGCCUGAACCAGCCAAGUAGCGUGAAGGAUGACUGCCCUAUGGGUUGUAAACUUCUUUUAUAAGGGAAUAAUUGCGGGUACGCGUACCCGUUUGCAUGUACCUUAUGAAUAAGGAUCGGCUAACUCCGUGCCAGCAGCCGCGGUAAUACGGAGGAUCCGAGCGUUAUCCGGAUUUAUUGGGUUUAAAGGGAGCGUAGGCGGGCGCUUAAGUCAGCUGUGAAAGUUUGGGGCUCAACCUUAAAAUUGCAGUUGAUACUGGGUGCCUUGAGUGCAGUAUAGGCAGGCGGAAUUCGUGGUGUAGCGGUGAAAUGCUUAGAUAUCACGAAGAACUCCUAUUGCGAAGGCAGCUUGCUGGAGUGUAACUGACGCUGAUGCUCGAAAGUGUGGGUAUCAAACAGG